UGUAAAAUUUUAAUAUUCACACGGAUCCGGUGGCAUGGGAUUUUGAGGUUUCCGCAACGCAAAAGCAGUUUUUGCGGCUCGAAAAUCCCAACAAUUUGGGGAGACUGAAUUGGAUAUGCACAACCGCUACCCCGAAUUAUUCAGUAAGCCAAAUUUCGAGGAUGAAAUGUUUAUAAGGGGGGAGAAUUGUAAUGUCCCGUAAGCGUAAUUAAAGAAUUUACAUAUGAAAUUUUCUAAUGUCAUCCGAAUGCUAAUUAUGGGAUUAACUUAUAAAUUUUUUUUAUGAAUUUUAGAAAUGUUUCAGAAUUUUAAAUGAACUUGUAUGGCAUACAUAAAAUGGAUAGAAUAGUUAAACAUGUGGAAAGCCAAAACUAACACCCAAUUAAUUAGGAGGUGAUUGCUCUAAUUAGCCGAAGGAUAGGAUUUAAUUGACCUAGGCUUAGGACUUAAAUAACCUAGGUAUAAAACUAUACCUGAUUCGCCGAAUCCAAUUUCUCCCUCACAAUUCCUCCUCUAAAUUGUCGACUCUCUCUUUGCCCUCACCACCGGCUCUCGAGACUCGGCCAGGUGCUACCCCAGGCAGACAGUUCCUUUGAGGGCAUUGCGAUCGGAAGAGGAAGCUCGCGACCUUCGCACCGGCGACACGAUGAUAUGCAAUGGGUGAGCGAGGGCUUCUGGCAGUGGAACGAAGAAAGGACAGGUGAGGGCGUCUACCAGGAUGUGACGGAAGGCAUGUGGACGGAGUAGGCGAGGAGGUGAGAUGGACACAUGGCACUGUCCGGAUAUUUAGGAGUGCAGUGCAUACUCUUUCCAUUGUGAGGUGUUCUUCAUUUGUUUAGGGAGAGAUUUGAGAAUUCAUUGUUCCUUUGUUUUGUUAAACUCUUGUUUGGGAUACUGUCAUUUACAUUGGGUAAGAUAGAUCAUUUUGAUGGAAUUA